AAGUCGAGCGAGAAGCUUAGAACGGAUUCUUCGGAUGAAGUUCUAAGUGGAAAGCGGCGGACGGGUGAGUAACGCGUGGGUAACCUGCCUUGUACUGGGGGAUAACAUAUUGAAAAGUAUGCUAAUACCGCAUAAGCGCACAGUAUCGCAUGGUACAGUGUGAAAAACUCCGGUGGUACAAGAUGGACCCGCGUCUGAUUAGUUAGUUGGUGAGGUAACGGCUCACCAAGGCGACGAUCAGUAGCCGGCCUGAGAGGGUGAACGGCCACAUUGGGACUGAGACACGGCCCAAACUCCUACGGGAGGCAGCAGUGGGGAAUAUUGCACAAUGGAGGAAACUCUGAUGCAGCGACGCCGCGUGAAGGAAGAAGGUUUUCGGAUCGUAAACUUCUAUCAGCAGGGAAUAAAGUGAAGGUACCUGACUAAGAAGCCCCGGCUAACUACGUGCCAGCAGCCGCGGUAAUACGUAGGGGGCAAGCGUUAUCCGGAAUUACUGGGUGUAAAGGGAGCGUAGGCG
rnacentral:rRNA from 1 species